rnacentral:rRNA from 1 species
ACUCAAAGGAAUUGACGGGGGCCCGCACAAGCGGUGGAGCAUGUGGCUUAAUUCGAUGCAACGCGAAGAACCUUACCUGGCCUUGACAUGUACGUAGUAGAAGCCAGAAACGGUGACGAGGUAGCAAUACCAGCGUACACAGGUGCUGCAUGGCUGUCGUCAGCUCGUGCCGUGAGGUGUUCGGUUAAGUCCGGUAACGAGCGCAACCCCUGUGUUUAGUUGCAACCGCCGAUGUGAAUCGGUGGGCACUCUAAACAGACUGCCCUGUGAAACGGGGAGGAAGGUGGGGAUGACGUCAAGUCAGUAUGGCCCUUACGGCCAGGGCUGCACACGUGCUACAAUGCCCAGUACAGAGGGACGCAAGACCGCGAGGUGGAGCAAAUCCCCCAAAACUGGGCUCAGUUCAGAUUGAAGGCUGCAACUCGCCUUCAUGAAGCUGGAAUCGCUAGUAAUGGCGCAUCAGCUACGGCGCCGUGAAUACGUUCCCGGGCCUUGCACACACCGCCCGU